rnacentral:misc_RNA from 1 species
AGGAAAUAGAUUUUUUUUUUUGUAAUCAAAAUUGUUCGUAUGGACAAUGUAAGCAUGGAACCUCUGUAGUAUAAAAUCUACCUGAAAUUUUAUGAAGAUCUAAGAUCUAGUAGUAAUACUGAUCUGAUUAUUAUUCCUUUUUCUCUUACAUGAAAUACUUGAAAGGACAGGCUUGAAAUGAUGCUUUUAUACUGAAAAUGAAACUAAGAACAUUUAUUCACAAAGAAACUUGAAGCUGAAACUGAAAUAUUGUCCCUCAUUUCAAUACUCCUGCUUUGCAUGGCCACCGCAAUUGAGAGCUUCCUUAAUGAGUCUACUGAAGUUAUUGUAAGAUGAUCCUCCAAUAUCUGUAGCUGCUUCUGCUUUCCUUUUCCAUUCUAGUGCCUUCUCUCUCAGUUGCUUUCCCUUGUGCCCUUCUAUCAUUUCCUUAACUAUACCUUCAAUUUCAUUCCUAUUUAUAUUGUGAUUGACCUCCAUGCCAAUCCCCCAUUUAGAGCAUGCAUAUCGGCAAUUUGUAUGUUGAUCGGCGAAGAAAGGCCAACAGACUAUUGGCACGCCGUGACUAACAGUUUCCAUCAUAGAAUUCCAUCCGCAAUGCGUUAGGAAAACACCAACUGCAGGAUGUGCAAGAACUUGAUCUUGUGGACACCAACUUGCUAGCAGUCCUCUAUCAUUGAUGUGCUCAAGAAAUUCUUCAGGCAAAAUUGCAGAAUCACCCAUUACUACAUCUUGUCUAAUUAUCCAUAGAAAUGGGCGUUUACUAUUUGCAAGUCCCCAUGCAAGCUCUUUCAAGUGUCUCGCUGUUAUCAUUGCUACGCUACCAUAAUUUACAUAUACAACAGAGUUAUGUUUUCUUUUAUCUAGCCAUUCAAGGCAGUUUGAAUCUUCUUUCCAUAAACUUGAAGCAAUUGACUUGGAUUCACUUUCAGGCAUUUGUCUUUCAAGCAAAGAUAGUGGACCUAUUGUGUAAAUGCGAGGAAACUUACAAGCAAUUAUUGCUUCUAAAACUUCAUGAUCGAACUCGUCGAAGGUGUUGAAGACAAUUGCAGAAGAGUUCAAGCAGUUCUCUGCUUCUGAUCCCAUGAAAUCAAACAUUAUUUCAUCAUUGGUAGUUCUGACAAAAGUUGGCAUAUCCUUUAGACGGAUGUUAGUCAUUCCAGGGAUCCAAUCAAUUGGGUUUUCGCUUAUGCUGUCAUUUAGGAAAUUUUUCACUGAAACAAUGAAAGAACAAAAGUUUCAUUCAUGGCAGUACUUGGGAUGUGAGAGAUCCAAAGAUUGACGGACGCUAUUGUUUAGAAUUAACUCAAGAAAGAUCAAGAAAUUACAUGUACCUGUGUGUGGGACGAUGCCUCUUCGUUUGAGUUCACUGAAGUGCAAAUAACACAUGAAGCUGCAAGCUGAGGCAGUCCAUAAUUGAACCUGGGGUAUGCUUAAUUCUUCUGCAGCCUUUAUACCAAAGCUCAUGACACCAUCUGAAAUUAUGCAAGAAACAGGGGGCACCCCAGAGGAUGAUGAAUUUAACUUGUUUAGUAGCUCUCUAAAUGGAGCCAAACAGUACUUCCUGGUUGAAUCACACAAGGAUGGAACAUCCUGCGUCGCAUCAAGAUGAUCAGAUGGUGGCAUCCCAUCUGUUAUAGUCUCAAAUCGGAAAUCCGGCAGGCCCUUAACGGAGUCUGGUCCUCUAGACUGAAUUAGUCGUCGAUGGUUGAACUCGGUGUUAACAAAGGUUAUGUGGAAGCCUGUUGAGUGCAGAAGCUUGGCUAGUUGCAUCACCGGAGUAACAUGGCCUUGAGAUGGAUAUGGUAUGCAUACAGCAUGGGGUUUACUGCCUCCAGCUGAACCCAUUUUUUAGCUAAGAGAUGACUCUGAAAGCUUUCCAAGCUUUUGUGGCUCCUAUACUAGGAUGUGAUGUGGACCCUCAGGACUGUUGUCAGUCGCAAAGCCAUAAUUUUUUAUAAGUGGGUUAACAAUUUUAUUUUCAUG